UCGCCGGUCAUAGAGGAGUGGUAAGACCCGUUCCCAUGUCGAACACGGAAGUGAAUCGCUCCAUCGAUUUCGUUUGUACUGUCGAAAAGACGGGAAGGCGAGGACGCUGGCGA
rnacentral:rRNA from 1 species